UAAAAGACAGUAUACCUCAAUUGUAUUGCGAAGUACCAAAGGUUGUAGCUGACCGGCCUCUUUUAUGCAGGUUUAAAACGGAACAGCAGCUAAACUGUCAAAGCUCUAGAGUUUAAAAUCAAGGGAGGUUAUUGUUUGGAACAACACACCAGAGGAUCACAGGAUGAUUGGUACUGAUAUUCGAAUUAGAACAAAUCUCCUGAACAGAAAAUGAACCAAGUGUCCAAGUAUGAUGGUAGAGUUCGUAUAAGUUCAGAUUCGAUGAGUAAAAUAGAGGCUGAAUUUCAAAGGUUGGGGCUAAACAGGAAUACUUCUACUUUGGAGAGAAGAUUAACUGAUCUUGAUGAGUUUGACGAAUUGGAAGAGCUGGAGUGAUCUGAUUGGCAAUAUAUUAAAUUAACAAUGAGUCCAAGCUGCUAUCAUCACAGUUGAAGGGGGUUAUACCCUGGUGGAGAUCUUCCCUUCCUGUCCAAGACCAUGAGUUGUUA